UACGAAGGGGGCUAGCGUUGCUCGGAAUUACUGGGCGUAAAGGGCGCGUAGGCGGCCUGGUAAGUAGGGGGUGAAAUCCUGCGGCUCAACCGCAGGGCUUGACCCUUCUUAAAACUGUCAGGCUGGAGCACGGGUAGAGGCAGAUGGAAUUCCCGGUGUAGCGGUGGAAUGCGUAGAGAUCGGGAAGAACACCAGUGGCGAAGGCGGUCUGCUGGGCCGUUGCUGACGCUGAGGCGCGACAGCGUGGGGAGCAAACAGG
rnacentral:rRNA from 1 species